rnacentral:rRNA from 1 species
UGAGGAAUAUUGGACAAUGGGCGCAAGCCUGAUCCAGCCAUGCCGCGUGCAGGAAGAAGCAUCUAUGGUGUGUAAACUGCUUUUGUACGGGAAGAAACACUCCUUCGUGAAGGAGCUUGACGGUACCGUAAGAAUAAGGAUCGGCUAACUCCGUGCCAGCAGCCGCGGUAAUACGGAGGAUCCAAGCGUUAUCCGGAAUCAUUGGGUUUAAAGGGUCCGUAGGCGGUUUAGUAAGUCAGUGGUGAAAGCCCAUCGUUCAACGAUGGAACGACCAUCGAUACUGCUAGACUUGAAUUACAAGGAAGUAACUAGAAUAUGUAGUGUAGCGGUGAAAUGCUUAGAUAUUACAUGGAAUACCAAUUGCGAAGGCAGGUUACUACUUGUGGAUUGACGCUGAUGGACGAAAGCGUGGGGAGCAAACA